CAAGGAAUAAGGACUAUCACAAACGCCGCGGCCGCAUAUAAAAAUGACAUCCCUACCAAUCAAUAUCAUAUUCUCUCAACAAGUACUUCAAGUCUUCAACAAGUACUUGUUGGUGGUGGCACUGCUUGAGGACGGCGGUUGCGCUUCCUAGUCUACGGCGGCGGGGUGCUCUAGGGUUUCCGUCCGGUCCAUUUUCCCUGAGUUCGGCUGAUCUUCUGUGAGAGUGAAGUUGCGUGUAGCGUCGAAGAGCUUUGUUGUCCAUGUGCCUCGUUCCGGCGUCCUGUUGAGUCGGUGGUGUGGCGGUGGCAGUUUCGCUUAGGUCUUUGUUUUCGCGAGUCAAAGACCUUCCUCCUCUAGCUCCUCCGGUGGUCUCUGGAGGAGGCGCGUGGGUUCGUCGAUGGUCGGGUUACGUCCCGGUCUGUUGGCUUUCCCAGUGGUGGCGCGUGGUGGCAGCGCGUGGUUUGAAAGGUGGUGUGUGGUGGUAGCACGUGUCAUCAGAGGUGUUUAUUUGGCUCCGUUAGCGAGCUAUUCUGGUGUUCCGGUGGUUUACCUUGCCCCAACCCUUGGAGUUUUCGGCGGUGUGGCCUUGCGCCUCGCUCUCUCAUCCCAUUUUAUGUGCGGCUUUGACUCGUUCUCCGUGGUGUUGGUUGCUGCGCUUAGUCUCCGUGCGGCAGUGGGUCACUCAGCCUGCCUCUUCUCUUGUAGGCGUAUUCCCGGAGGGUGAGUUCUAUGCAGUCCGCUUCCUCUAUAUGUGGGUUCGGUUCAAUGGGUGUAAACGGUCACGAGGGGUCGGGUUUGAAGACGGCAUUCUUCGGGUCUGCUUCUCGAACGACGGCAUCGUCGUGUGGACACUCACUCUCGUGCCGUCGGGGGUGCUUCUGUCUGGUGUUUUUGGCUGGUUCGUGCGAUGAUUCUUCGGGCGGUUUGUGUUGGGUCAGGUUUCGGAAGCUGCAGGAUCCGUAGCUUCUAGGUUUGAGGGCACCUAUCUCUCGGCUCGUGGCAACUGUUUCCUCUUCUCCGACCUUCCAGCUCGCUUUGGUCUUUGCCCGAUCCGCUGCUUAGCUGGUUGCUAGUCUAGUUUACCAGCUUCGGUUUCUUGUCUUUGUCGUUUCGUUGUGCUGUGUAGUUUAAUUUUUCCGCAUUCCGCUACUCGUCAUCUUUGUAAUCGCUGUCGAAAAUUUAAAACUUGGUAUAAAAUUUAACAUUUUACCAAAAAAAAAAAAAAAAAAAAGUCUUCAACAAGACCAGCAUCUAGGGCAGCACUUGGAUUGACAUGACCACUUCCAUAAUCAAAAGGAGUGGCUUUAACAAGCUUUACAGUAUCUGAAUAUUAGUGUGCCUGAACGUUGUCUUGACUUGGUAGUGCUAUGAAGAUCUCUAAUUAAAUCAACUAAUGCAUUUUUCAUUGAUAGCAAUCAGAACAACUACACAAUUAAAAAAAAAGAGCUUCAUAGCUUUGUUACGGUUUAGCCAUCACAAUGAAAUACAAGAUCGUCUCCAAUUUCCGGUUCAGGAGUCUCGGUUUGUUCCGGUUUAGCCACCACAAUGAAAAAGCGAAUCAAACAUUUCUCCUGGACGAUGCAAAUCAGACUUCCAUUCCGACAACAAUGGCGACUCUGAAGCCACCGGAAUCUCAACUACUAAAAACCCUUUCAUCAAUCCUCACAUCGGAUAAAACCCAUAUCCUCGAAACCCUAAACCCUUACAUCCCUCAGAUCACUCAGCCUCUCCUCCUCUCUCUCUUCUCCUCUCCUUCACUCGCCAAGCGACCCGAAACUCUCCUCUCUCUCUUCCACUGGGCUAAGACCUCGACCCCGGAAGCAUUCCCAUCUGACUCCCCUCUCCCCCUCCUCUCCGUCGUCCGCUCCCUCAUCUCCCACCACAAAUUCGCCGACGCCAAGUCCCUUCUCGUCUCCCACAUCCUCACCACCUCCGAUGGACCGCUCUCUCUCUCCAACUCCCUCCUCCACCCGAAUCUCCACCUCUCUCCCCCUCCCUCCAAAGCCCUCCUCGACGUCUCCCUCGGCGCUUACCUUCAAGCCGGGAAGCCUCACGUGGCGUUACACAUCUUCCAGAAGAUGGUUCGGUUGAAGCUGAAACCAAACCCUCUCACUUGCAACACUCUUCUCAUCGGUCUGGUCAGGUACCCUUCAAGCUUCUCUCUCGCAAACGCUAGACAAGUGUUUCACGACAUGGUUAAGCUCGGCGUCUCGCUAAAUGCCAAGACUUUCAAUGUUUUGAUUCAUGGGUUUUGCUUAGAAGGGAAGCUCGACGACGCCGUGGGAAUGAUUGAGAGGAUGGUUAGUGAGUUCAGUGUGCAGCCUGAUAACGUUACUUACAAUACGAUUUUGAAAGCGUUGUCUAAGAAGGGGCGUUUGAAUGAUGUUAAGGAGCUGUUGUUGGAUAUGAAGAAGAACGGUUUGGUGCCUAAUAAAGAUACUUACAAUAAUCUAGUCUAUGGUUACUGUAAAUUGGGUUCCUUGAAGGAAGCGUUUCAGAUUGUGGAGCUGAUGAAGCAGACUAAUAUGUUACCGGAUCUUCGCACUUAUAACAUGUUGAUGAAUGGGCUGUGCAAUGAGGGAAGUAUUAAGGAAGCUCUUGAGUUGGUAGAUGAGAUGAAGGAGUUGAAGUUACUGCCUGAUGUGGUUACUUACAACACGUUGAUUGAUGGGUGUUUUGAAUUGGGGAGGAGUUUGGACGCUAAGAAGUUAAUGGAGCAGAUGGUGAAUCUUGGAGUUAAACCGAACCAAGUGACUCAUAACAUAUCUCUUAAGUGGCUUUGCAAAGAAGGGAAGAUGGAAGAGGUUAGUAGAAAGGUUAAGGAACUGGUGGAAGUGCAUGGGUUUUCUCCUGAUAGAGUUACUUAUCAUACAUUGAUUAAAGGGUAUUUGAAAGCAGGUGACUUGAAUGGUGCACUUGAGAUGAUGCGUGAGAUGGGGCAGAAGGGGAUUAAGAUGAAUACCAUUACACUUAAUACCAUUCUUGAUGCUUUGUGUAAAGAGAGGAAACUUGACGAAGCUCGCAGUUUACUGGAUAGUGCUCGCAAGCGAGGGUAUAUUGUUGACGAGGUUAGUUACAGCACGCUAAUCACAGGCUACUUCAGGGAAGAGAAGGUUGAGAAGGCUUUGGAGAUGUGGGAAGAGAUGAAGAAGAUAAAGAUCAUCCCUACCGUGAGCACGUUUAACUCUUUAAUUGGAGGUCUCUGUCACAAUGGGAAAACUGAGCUAGCUAUGGAGAAGUUCGAUGAGCUUGCUGAGAGCGGCUUGCUUCCUGAUGACACUACUUUCAACUCGAUCAUCCUCGGAUACUGCAAAGAAGGACGUGUUGAGAAAGCGUUCGAGUUUUAUAACGAAAGCGUCAGACACUCUUUCAAGCCUGAUAGCUACACGUGUAACAUUCUUCUCAAUGGUCUUUGUAAGGAGGGUAUGACAGAAAAGGCUCUCAAUUUCUUCAACUCGCUUAUCGAGGAGAGAGAGGUCGAUACGGUUACGUACAACACGAUGAUCUCCGGUUUCUGCAAGGACAGGAAGGUGAAAGAAGCGUUUGAUCUUUUAUCAGAAAUGGAGGAGAAAAAACUAGAGCCUGAUCGGUUUACAUACAACAGUAUUGUCACUGCACUUAUGGAAGAUGGUAAGCUGAGUGAAGCAGAGGAAUUGUUGGAGAAAGUUUCUGUAAAGUUUGGAUCGGCGAAACAGAGUUUGCAGGGACAGACGCAUGAAAAUGCUGAAUCGAAGGAGGAACUUAAUAACACUGAGGGUAUUGCAUACUCUGAUGUUAUAAAUGAACUUUGUAGUAGAGGAAGAUCAAAGGGGGUUACUGUAGAAGUUACAUAGAGUGAAGGCAAAACUCUCUUUUUUUUUGGGUUCUCUGGCUAAAUGUAUUCUUGUUUAGUUUUGUAUCAGUUUACGAGUCACAAUCAAUUUUGUAUCAUCCAUUGCUCAAUACUUCUGAAACUUUUUUUUUUUAAAUGUCUUUGGUGGGAUAUCAAAUUCUACAAACACUCUGAGGUAAGUAGAUGCGUAUUCUGAUCGUCAUUUACUUCAGUGUUGGAGAUAUCAUAUUCUUAUUAGCUCUCGCCAUGAUUUAGUUCAGUGUUUGUGUAAGAGGCAAAUAAUCGUUUGACUCCAUAUGUUUUGGGAUAAUAAUCUGACUUUUUCUUGUUCAUUAAACCUUAUAAAAUUCUUGGGAUCAGUUUAUACAUGUUAGGGAAAAAGAUGGAGACAUACACAUUUCAAAGCUAACCAAGAAACAGACUAAAUCAGAGCCCCAUCCAAGGGCCAAGCAGCAACCCUGCAGCGGGUGGUGUGGAUCAAAAUCCACUUUGCUAAAAAGCUUCCUCAGCUCAGCAUAGGAAAUCUUGAUCAAAAUCCAUAUGUGUGUGUUCAAGUAAAUCUUGAUCUUGUCAUCUGAUGUUAUUGAAACUAAUGAUCGGACAGUGAUAGUGAGCAACGCUCAUGAAAUGUAGUGUAAUCACAUAAGCGUAAGAAUGUAAGAUCGAUUACCAUACAAGAACAUAAAUGAGAUUUCUCGAUUGGCAAACCCACACCCACUGGUAAGAUUUUUUUUUUUCAAAUGAAUAUUAAAUUUAUUCAUCAAAAAAGUCUUUAUACAACUAGUGCGUCCUUCAUAGAACUUAAGUAAAUCUAUUGCACUACCCAACUCUAAUGUAAAAGCUAUUUACAUUCUAGUUUGAAACCAAAACUGCAUUAACUUCUCCAUUCCUUUGAUCCCCUUCCCUCUCAUCACACUUAUCUUGUUUCGAAUUCUUUUCUCUAUCAUUCAUUUGAGUGCUGGCAAAAGCAACGGCUUAUCCCAUGUUUUAUCUUGUUUCUCUCUCACCACACUGCAUACAAUGUCGAUUGAAAAGCAUGUCUCAGACAAAACAAGCUCAUCUUUUCCCUACUCUCAUCCACAAUGAGUGUCAUUAUCACAGACCAGACAUUAGUGUAGGAGUUACGCAGUAUUCCUUUGGCAAUAUAUUCCCAGAACUGAGUUGAAUAGGAGCACUCAAAAAAUAUAUGGUCUCUCGAUUCGGUGGCGCUUUUACAGAGAACACAUGUAGUGUCAAGACCCUGACUCCAUGUAGCAGCUCUGUCUAGAGUUGACAUUCUAUUACGAACUGACAUCCAUGCCAUAAACGCAUAUUUUGGUGUAACUUGAGAAAUCCAAACACCUCGAGCCCAUGAACAUUGAGACUUGCUCUCUCUCAACAUCGACCAAGUUUCAUAUGUCGAGAAACUCUUCUUAUAUGGAGACUUCCUUUUCCACAGACAAACAUUUUCUUUCUCUGUAUUUAAGUUCCUCUCUUCUCAGCUCAAUCUCAAUGUCUUUAAGCAAGUCCGUUUGAUGCCUUCUUCUUCUUCUGGUAUUAAGCACUACCUCUUCCAAAGUUGCUUCUCUUCUUACUCUCAUAUCAAUAAUUCUCCGAUCACCCAGCAUAUCAAGCAUCCACUGGUAGAAUUACAUUAAACAUUCAGACAAAAACUUAACUAAAACAAUAAGAUAGGACCAACGAAUUAAGUGUUAAUUUUGACUUAUGAAUUGGCUUUUGAUACUUUGCUACUCGCUUCAUCGGACGUUAACAUGUGCUCUAUCAAAUUCUCACUACCUAACAAUUGAAUUCUGUCCAAAAAAAAAGUUUUGACAGCUUCAUCCACUACACUCCGUCAGACCAUCGUUUCAGCUUUGAAGAGUGAAUUCCCGAUGACUGAUGAAGGGCAAAUACACCCUUUCCUUGGCAUCUCAGCUAAAUUCAACACCAAAGGUCUGUUCUUAAGUCAGCUACAAUAUGCGGAAGAUAUAUUGAAGCGAUCAGGUAUGGGCGACUGCAAACCAUGUACCACACCGAUAUAUACGAAGUCAAAACUUGGUGACAAAGAUGGCAAACAAAUUUAUAAUCUCCUGAAUACAGAAGCUUGGCUGAAACUCUACAAGACCUCUCACAUUUACAAGGCCAGACAUUGCUUAUGCAGUCAAACAAAUAUGUCUCUUUAUGCAUGAUCCGCGAGAACCUCACAUGCUAGCUCUCAAACGCAUCUUAAGGUAUGUGCAAGGUAUAAAAUCAAAAGGGUCUACAGGUACUUAGGCACCAGAAGACAUCUUUGAUAGUAUAUUCAUAUGCUGAUUGGGCCGGUUGUCCAACCACAAGGCGCUCAACUUCUGGCUAUUGUGUCUAUCUUUGAGAUAAUCUGAUUUCGUGGUCAGCAAAGCGACAACCAACUGUUUCAAGAAGCAGUGCAGAGGCAGAGUAUAAAGGGGUGGCAAAUGCAGUAGCAGAGGAAUGUUAAAUACAUAAUAUGCUGUUAGAAAUGGACUGUCCCUUACGUCAAGCAACACUCGUUUAUUGCAACAACAUCAGCGCAAUAUAUCUUUCAUCCAAACCGGUGCAACACCAAUGAACCAAACACAUAGAAAUCAACAUUCAUUUUGUUAGGGAGAAGGUCCAAAUGGGUCUGGUUCAGGUCUUACACAUUCCAUCCGAGUUACAGUAUACAUGCAGACAUCGUUACUAAAGGCUUGCCAUAAAGUUUGUUCAAUCAAUUUUAAUCCAAUUUAGGCCUGACAGAAGCCGACACUGCAACUGCGGAAGGGUGAUAGAAUAUGAAUAAUAUUUCUCUUAAUAUUCUUUGUAGUAGUUAAGCUACGAAUCAAUACAAUACUAAAAGGGAAAUAAGGGCUCCUCUCACAAUGUCCACGUCCUCAAUUAUAAUCAACCAAUCAAAUAUCAUUUUUCUGCCACAUCACCAAUCAGCUUUCUCAAUAGAAUUGCGUCUCUUUCCACUGUCGUCUCAUCUUUUCUCCUCAAAACAAAAAUGUUUUUCAGACGAUUGUCUUCUCAACUCCCAUACCUUCCUCCAUCACUCAUAAUUAUCUUUUGAUUCAACCCAUUGAAUCACUAACAAUAGAUUAAUUAGUCUGUUUGAUUCAAUUUUCAUCACUAUCCACGACGGAGAUGAGGACGAGCAGGAAACUCGAGACUUGGUAUCGGAAUCAAAAUCGUCAGAUCUAACUCUGAACAGACUGGAGAUUCUCGGAGCUUUACCGCUUCUCGGUUUAGAGGAAUUCGAAGUCCUUGCAUGAGAAUCCGGUAUCCACCUGAGGAGUGGUGAUGAACCGGCGGUUUACUCCUCCUCCUCAUCCGGCGUCUGAUUUUCUGCAGUCUACGUAAGGAGAAACAGAGCGAGGGAAAAUCAGAUUGUUAGAUUUACGCGAUUGAUUAUGGUUGUUAUCGUCUUCUGUGACGGCGGCGGAAGCGGCAAGGGAGAGGAGACGUUCACGGAGGCAAGAAGCGUAGACGCCGGCGGUGCUGCUGAGAUCAACGGCGGUGCUGCUGGGAUCAACGGUGUUUCUCUUACAUUAAUCGGUUUCAUUACUCAACUAAAGAAUAAUAUAGUACAAUAAUCGCGGGUGACAAAAUAUGCAGCUUUAAUAUAACCGACGAAACGAUUUCCAGCUCCACUUCUCCGGCAAACUCGAGCACCGCAACACCGGCGAAAUCCCAUAUCGUCUUGGAAAGCUUUGAGUCUCGGCCUUUAUGCAUCCUCUGUUCCUUAGCUUCGGAAUGUAAGAUCGUGGCUCUAUCUAUUCACAGGAUCCAUCAAGACACAAAUUGUUCAUAUUCAUCGAUACAUCAUAUUGCUUUCCGUAAAGGUUUGUUCGAUUCAAUUAUCUCAAUCAUAUUUUUGGAACAUAUGGUUGUAAGUUUUUUUUUAAAGUAUAUAUGAUAUUUUCAGUCAGAUCGAGAUGUUUACUAGAUGUAACAAACUCUGCUGCAGAAUGAAAAUGGAAUCAUGUAAGCUGUUCAUGGCUACUCUUCAUGAUCGAUGUGUCUCCAAGGUGAGAGAUUUUUAGUUUAUGGUUGCUCUCUUCUGUUUUCAAUGUUUGCAACAAGCUUUUAUAAAUUCAGUAAAUCUUUAAUUUUCAUUCCAUGAUCAUGAAAUUACCAUCAAGUUCUUACUUAGACAUAAGUGACUACAUUUUUUCUUAGUGAUGUUAGCUGAUCAGGACUAAUAGAUUUCAAAAGAAAUGAAGAAGGAGAUCAGAAUUUAGGCUCAUGAUCUUUUGUUAAGUUUAUUUGGCCGCUAUUUAGUGUGAUAUGGUGCCAAUAGUUUCAUGAUUAUGAGGCGUGAUCACCGUAAGUAAUUUUGGCUAAUUGUUUGCGUUUGGCAUGUGCAAGAUUUGCUUCUGCAUUUGGAGUAGAGUCUACAUUCCUUUAACUGUUUUUGUCUUCUCUCCCUGCAGGAGUUGAAAAACCAGAGGCUUCUGCCCAAAAUGAUUUAUCAGUCAAGACAAAUGUAAAUGGAAGAAGCAUAGUCAGAUACCAUAUUUACAUUCUGAAAAAAAAAAAGACCAGAGAUGGAUGACAAACAUAUGCGUCUUUGAAGGAUUCUCACUUGCUUGCCGCUAGAAAGCAUUCAGAAGAUGAUGGAAUCAGUUCCAUGGAUCGGCUUCCUCAUAGCUACGAAAGGGAAGAAGGUGAAAGAACGAGUCAGACAAUGAGAAGGAUACCAUGCAGAGAAGCCACUAAAGAUCCAAAUUUCUGCAACACUAAAACAACAGCUCAUUGUCUGGGAGAAUAUUACGCACCAGGACAAGGUACAACCAGGGUCUGCUGCUGAUGGAAGUUCACAAGCUAAUGACAUUGAUGGGAAGAAGAAAAUUAAGUGGGCAAGAAGUUGCUACUAAGACCUGCAAUUAUCCACCUAUCAACUCCAUGGCUGCUUCACAACACUAACGUGUAGCUCAAUGCAUACAAUGCUUUAUAAUUUACAAGAAUACAAUAGGAAGAGCAACGAUGAUCCUAAAGUAUCAAUACAAAGUUACGGAAAUGAGAUCGAUGUUUGGAGUGAAGGGAUUAUUUUAAUCAUCUUGCUUUGUGGUGUGCCUCUUUUUUGGGCUGCUAAUAUAUUGCUAAUUGUUUCGUCCAUUUAAUUAUGUAAUUGAUAUUUUUUAUGAUUUUGUUAUAUUUACAAUUAGGGAUGUGAAUUGUUGAGCGAAGCUUGAAGAGGUUUAUUCAUUUUAAAUUUUCAA